rnacentral:lncRNA from 1 species
ACAGAUUGAGCUACAUCAGAUGUAUCCGUUUCUUGAGAAGAGUGAGUCAAAUCAGGAUCAUAACUGUAGGUGAAGAUAUCAAAUUUUUUCUUGUUUGAGAAGUCAAAGCAUUGUCACUACGAGAAACAAGGUCAUUGAUUGUUUCUUGACCAGAACAUUCAGGUAACACUGCACCAGACAUAUUACUAUGUUGAAAAGCAAUUGAAGACCUUGAGAGUGCUUCAGUAAAGAGAGAAAGAUCAGAGGAAGCUACUGAAAGAAAUUAGCGUGGUUGUUGUUCAAAAGACAAGUGUUUCCUUGUUAUUGUAAAUGAUAAAUGACUUUUCAGGAGAUAAAAAAAACAUUUAUCAAGUACAAAAAUUCUGUUUAUAUCAACUAUCAAGUUACAGCAAUCAUGAAGUAUCAAAAUUACAAUGAACCGAGCAAUUAAAUCAAGUUUUGUCUAUAAUCCCCAUACCAACAUCUAUCGCAAAUGAGAAAAAGUUUCAUUGCAGGUAAAAUCAGCUUUAUACUUUUUCAACUAGGUAGUCAUAAACUUCCAUCUUUCCUCUCCUUGCUGCAAUUUCAGAGGGCGUGUAUCCAUCCUGGAAACAUGAACAAUCCUUUGUGUAAAGGCAGGUUUAAGUUUCAAAAAAGCAGAAAAAUCAAUGUACAAACCUUGUCAGUGAUCUCUAGUGUUGCCCCAUAAGUGUUUAAGAUCUUAGUGAUCUCCAUAUUAUAGAAUGAACGAUAUGUAUUAUUGAUAUCAGAGUACACAUUAUAUACAUCAUAGAAAGUAGGGCUUUCACGUUAGAUAUUUACAUAAGACACUUUCCAUAUAUAUACUCUACACGCCCUCUCAAGAUGGAGGUACUUGAGUAACUCCAAUCUUGCCAAAUAAUUCUUGAAAUCUUGCUCUCGAGAGCGGUUUUGUAAGAGCAUCAGCAAGCUGGUCUUUGGUUGAAACAUGAGCAACACGAGAAAAGCAAUUGAAGACCUUGAGAGUGCUUCAGUAAAGAGAGAAAGAUCAGAGGAAGCUACUGAAAGAAAUUAGCGUGGU